UGCAAGUCGAACGGACUUAACCAUUAGUUUACUAUUGGAGCGGUUAGUGGCGGACUGGUGAGUAACACGUAAGCAACCUGCCUAUCAGAGGGGAACAACAGUUAGAAAUGACUGCUAAUACCGCAUAUGCCUAAGUACCACAUGGUACAAUAGGGAAAGGAGCAAUCCGCUGAUAGAUGGGCUUGCGUCUGAUUAGCUAGUUGGUGGGGUAAAGGCCUACCAAGGCGACGAUCAGUAGCCGGACUGAGAGGUUGAACGGCCACAUUGGGACUGAGAUACGGCCCAGACUCCUACGGGAGGCAGCAGUCGGGAAUAUUGCGCAAUGGAGGAAACUCUGACGCAGUGACGCCGCGUGCAGGAAGAAGGUUUUCGGAUUGUAAACUGCUUUAGACAGGGAAGAAACAAGACAGUACCUGUAGAAUAAGCUCCGGCUAACUACGUGCCAGCAGCCGCGGUAAUACGUAGGGAGCGAGCGUUAUCCGGAUUUAUUGGGUGUAAAGGGUGCGUAGACGGGAAGGUAAGUUAGUUGUGAAAUCCCUCGGCUUAACUGAGGAACUGCAACUAAAACUGUCUUUCUUGAGUACUGGAGAGGAAAGUGGAAUUCCUAGUGUAGCGGUGAAAUGCGUAGAUAUUAGGAGGAACACCAGUGGCGAAGGCGACUUUCUGGACAGAAACUGACGUUGAGGCACGAAAGUGUGGGGAGCAAACAGGAUUAGAUACCCUGGUAGUCCACACCGUAAACGAUGGAUACUAGGUGUAGGAGAUAAUAAAUCUUCUGUGCCGCCGCUAACGCAAUAAGUAUCCCACCUGGGGAGUACGGCCGCAAGGUUGAAACUCAAAGGAAUUGACGGGGGCCCGCACA
rnacentral:rRNA from 1 species